CUCAGAUCACGUAAGAAUUUAAAAGUCGAACAGACUUUAAGUUUAAGCUGCUGCACCUAAAACUGUAUCUUAAUCCAACAUCGAGGUCGCAAUCUUUUUUAUCAAUAUGAACUCUCUAAAAAAAUUACGCUGUUAUCCCUAAAGUAACUUGAUUUCUUAAUCAUUAAUAAUGGAUCAAUAAUUCAUUAAUUUAUGUUUAUUAUAAAUUAAAAGUUUAACAAAUUUUAAUAUCACCCCAAUAAAAUAUAUAAAUUUAUAAUAAUUUAAUUUAUCUAUAUAAUUAAAAUAAUUUAUAUAUAAAGAUUUAUAGGGUCUUCUCGUCUUUUAAAAUUAUUUUAGCUUUUUGACUAAAAAAUAAAAUUCUAUUAUAAAUUUAUAUGAAACAGUUAAUAUUUCAUCCAACCAUUCAUACCAGCCUUCAAUUAAAAGACUAAUGAUUAUGCUACCUUUGCACAGUUAAGAUACUGCGGCCAUUUAAAAAAUUNNNGNGGNCAGGCUAGACUUUAAAUUAAAUUCAAAAAGACAUG
rnacentral:rRNA from 1 species